GGAUGCGAUCAUACCAGCACUAAAGCACGGGAUCCCAUCAGAACUUCGAAGUUAAGCGUGCUUGGGCGAGAGUAGUACUUGGAUGGGGGUGACCUCCUGUGAAGUCCUCGUGUUGCAUUCC
rnacentral:rRNA from 1 species